rnacentral:rRNA from 1 species
GCUUGUCUCAAAGAUUAAGCCAUGCAUGUCUAAGUAUAAACUGCUUUAUACUGGUGCAACUGCAGAAGGCUCAUUAAAACAGUUAUCGUUUAUUUGAUGGUACCUUACUACAUGGAUAACCGUAGUAAAUCUAGAGCUAAUACAUGCGUAAAAUCCCGACUUUUUUUUUAACGGAAGGGAUGUAUUUAUUAGAUCCAAAACCAAUGCGGGGUCAAACCCGGUCGUUUGGUGAUUCAUGAUAACUUUGUCGAAUCGCAUGGAUUCAUUCCGGCGAUAGGUCAUUCAAAUUUCUGCCCUAUCAGCUUUCGAUGGUGGUGUCUUGGACCACCAUGGCAUUGACGGGUAACGGAGAAUUAGGGUUCGAUUCCGGAGAGGGAGCCUGAGAAACGGCUACCACAUCUAAGGAAGGCAGCAGG